GGGGCGGUAGUCUAGCCCGGCCAUGAUGACUCGCUUACACCUCGAGGGUCACGAGUUCAAGUCUCGUCCGCCCC
rnacentral:tRNA from 1 species